UGCUGCUGCUAAUGUGACCAGAUCAACCAAAGAAGAAAUUAAAGAAAAUCCUAAUUUUCAAGGCCUCUCUCUUGAAGAAAAAGUAAAAAUCAAGUAGAGAAAGAAGAAAAAGGAAGACAAUACAGCACAAACACUAUCACUCCUCCACUUUUUUUUAAUACUUUUAAUGUAAAAUAUUAAAUAUUUAAAAUAAAAACUAUGAAAUAUAA
rnacentral:lncRNA from 1 species